GAUGAACGCUGGCGGCGUGCUUAACACAUGCAAGUCGAACGAUGAAGCCCAGCUUGCUGGGUGGAUUAGUGGCGAACGGGUGAGUAACACGUGAGUAACCUGCCCUUAACUCUGGGAUAAGCCUGGGAAACUGGGUCUAAUACCGGAUAGGAGCGCCUACCGCAUGGUGGGUGUUGGAAAGAUUUAUCGGUUUUGGAUGGACUCGCGGCCUAUCAGUUGUUGGUGAGGUAAUGGCUCACCAAGGCGACGACGGGUAGCCGGCCUGAGAGGGUGACCGGCCACACUGGGACUGAGACACGGCCCAGACUCCUACGGGAGGCAGCAGUGGGGAAUAUUGCACAAUGGGCGAAAGCCUGAUGCAGCGACGCCGCGUGAGGGAUGACGGCCUUCGGGUUGUAAACCUCUUUCAGUAGGGAAGAAGCGAAAGUGACGGUACCUGCAGAAGAAGCACCGGCUAACUACGUG
rnacentral:rRNA from 1 species